UUGCUGGGGGAGUCAAUCUUUUCAGUGACGAAGCUAACGCAUUAAGUGUCCCGCCUGGGAAGUACGCCCGCAAGGGUGAAACUCAAAGGAAUUGACGGGGGCCCGCACAAGCGGUGGAGUAUGUGCUUUAAUUCGAUGCAACGCGAAGAACCUUACCUGGAUUUGACAUGGGGUUGAAAGUUUUCAGAGAUGAAUUCCCUUCCGCAAGGAACGACCACACAGGUGCUGCAUGGUUGUCGUCAGCUCGUGUCGUGAGAUGUUGGGUUAAGUCCCGCAACGAGCGCAACCCUCGCCCUUAGUUGCCAUCAGGUUAUGCUGGGAACUCUAAGGGGACCGCCUAGUUUAACUAGGAGGAAGGUGGGGAUGACGUCAAAUCAUCAUGGCCCUUACGUCCAGGGCUAGACACGUACUACAAUGGUCGGUACAACGGGAUGCAAGAUGGUGACAUUAAGCUAAUCCCUUAAAACCGAUCUCAGUCCGGAUUGAAGUCUGCAAUUCGACUUCAUGAAGCUGGAAUCGCUAGUAAUCGCGGAUCAGCAUGCCGCGGUGAAUACGUUCCCGGGCCUUGUACGCACCGCCCGUCAAGCCAUGAAAGAUGGCAGUGCCCGAAGUCGCUUCUCUAACCGCAAGGAAGAGUGCGCCUAAGGUAAGGCUGUUGAUUGGGGCUAAGUCGUAACAAGGUAGCCG
rnacentral:rRNA from 1 species